rnacentral:lncRNA from 1 species
AUGGUGAGGGAGCCUCUCGCUGGCAGCAGCGCCUUUCCCGCGGGGCUGGUCCCGGGGCCCCGGCUCCUUGCGGUGGUGCGGUGCCCAUCGGCCUCGUGGAGGCGGUUUCGGGGAUUUGCCGAAUCGCUGGCUGUGGCUAAGCCGAUGGGGUCGCAGCUUCUGCCGACAGCAGCCAAGGCGGCCCGAGACGCCGCCGUGAUAUCCCUGGUAUCCGGCCGGGCUGCAGGUACAGCAGGGAUUUGGAGAGGGAGGGCUACAGGCACUCGUGCCGUCCGUCCUGCUGGACCCRUGUCCUCCUGUCCCACUGCCAGGCCAUGCCUCCGACCUGCCGCGUCCGGGAGCCCCGGUCCCGCGGCAAGGGCUGCCGGGCUCGGGAAUGCGCCGUGGCGCUGUCACCUUUUCUCUGUUUCGUUUCACUCGACGCCCCCUGCCUCCCUCCCGGCCUUCUCCGGCUCGGUCGGCCUUUUCCAGGUGUUGCCCCGGGCCCGGACCCGAGGUGGUGGUGUCUGUGCCGCAGCAUCCCAGUGUCCUGGUGGGCUGCCUUGCCCUGCUUGCCGGGCUGCUCCCGGCUCUGCCCUGCCAGCACUGAGGCCGUGGCCCCUGGCCCCAGGGCUUCCCGCGGGAAACCCUUUGCCCGGCUCUGCUGGCRAUGGGAACCCAGGAGCUGUAGGAAGAGGCAGAGCCCGUCGCUUCCCUGCUGCUCCUYGGCUUCCCUCCUGGGUGGUCCCCGGGCCGUCCUGCCCCCCGGCCUUCGCAGAGGUAUCGUUUCUCGCCCCCCGCUCCGCACAGGGCCGGGGCUGGCCCCUCUGCUCCGAGCCCCUCCGGGAUCCCSGUCACGGCGGAGGCGUGCGCAGCCGGAGCCGGCCGAGGUUUUGGCCAUGGCUCGUCCUUCCCCGCGCUCGGCGCUGCACAAACCAAGGGCAGAAGCGUGGCGGCACCCGGACCCCCCUCUCCGAGCCCACGCCGGGUCCGGGGGCUGCAGAGACCCUCGGCAUCGUGCACUGCCAAGGAGGCACCACUCCACCCAUCGCAGCUUUUCCAGCAUGGGCGGACGCGGCCUUGAAACCCCGACCAGCCGUUUGCCCCAAGCCCCCGUCGGGCGGCUGCUCCGGGCGGGAGCGACGCUCCGCGCGGCCUCUGCGCCCUGCGGCUGGCCGGGCACCGCCGCCGGCAUGA